AGCAGGGGCGGCUAUGCUUCUGAAAUUAGACAACUCCCUUCCAAACCAGCCCUGGUCCAGACUGGGGACACAGCCAUCAUCCUAAUUAGGAACUGAAGCUGGGCAAGACUGGACAUACUGUCCAAGGCCACAAAGCUGGGAGGUGACAGAACAAGUAUUCGAAUCUGGAGCCGCGCCUUUACACACCAAGCUCUCCAAGAGUCUGGAGUCAUCCCCAUGUCCUCACCCCCAAAAAACGAAGACAUUGAAAUUGAGGAAAUGUGCAGACCACCUUUUGGAGGCGUUCAUGAUAUAAGGAAGCAGGGAGUGGCCAGUACCUGGAAGGAGAUGUGGAGUCAAGAGAAAUGGAGGAGGACUUGAGU
rnacentral:lncRNA from 1 species